rnacentral:rRNA from 1 species
UACGUAGGGUGCAAGCGUUGUCCGGAAUUAUUGGGCGUAAAGAGCUCGUAGGCGGUCUGUCGCGUCUGCUGUGAAAACUCAGGGCUUAACCCUGAGCUUGCAGUGGGUACGGGCAGACUAGAGUGCGGUAGGGGAGACUGGAAUUCCUGGUGUAGCGGUGAAAUGCGCAGAUAUCAGGAGGAACACCGGUGGCGAAGGCGGGUCUCUGGGCCGUAACUGACGCUGGAGGAGCGAAAAGCAUGGGGAGCGAAACAGG